rnacentral:misc_RNA from 1 species
AAACAUGAAGGAUGACUUUCAAUAUAAAUCAAUUCAUUAUAUUUGAUAAGCAAUAAAAUAUAUACUAAUACUUCUGAAUCAAUGGCAUAACAUGCUGCCACAGACAAUGCAAAAUUGCAAACGCCAUCUCCACAACCUCAAAUGCAGUCAGUUAGACUAGCAGAGAAAAACAAGAAACUGCUGCAACCAGGCUUUGCCAAUCUAGCGUAGUUAUGGGUUUGCCUUAUUUUAUUAAAUAUGAUAAUUUAGUGUAUUUAUGUGAGAUCAAUUCCACUUCCUUGAAACAAAUUGAACACCAACAUUCCAUUCACACCCCAGAAGGUGAUUGAUCAUAUAAAAUGUGUAGUAGUUUACUGGUAAAGGUUUUUAUUAUUUAAAUGACUUGGAACGUUAAUGCAAACAGUUAAAUAAUAUAAAAAUGUAAUAAAUUCAACAAUAAUAAUAAUAAGAUUUAAAGGUGAGACUUCUUGGUUCUAUAAUUUUUUUUUUUUUAAUAUUUGUAG